UACGUAGGGGGCAAGCGUUAUCCGGACUCACUGGGCGUAAAGGGAGCGCAGGCGGCACGGCAAGUCUGGUGUGAAAACCCGGGGCUCAACCCCGGGACUGCAUUGGAAACUGCCGGGCUGGAGUGUCGGAGGGGUAAGCGGAAUUCCUAGUGUAGCGGUGAAAUGCGUAGAUAUUAGGAGGAACACCAGUGGCGAAGGCGGCUUACUGGACGAUGACUGACGCUGAGGCUCGAAAGCGUGGGGAGCAAACAGG
rnacentral:rRNA from 1 species